rnacentral:rRNA from 1 species
GAUGAACGCUAGCGAUAGGCUUAACACAUGCAAGUCGAGGGGCAGCAUGAUCUUAGCUUGCUAAGGUCGAUGGCGACCGGCGCACGGGUGCGUAACGCGUAUGCAACUUGCCUUACAGAGGGGGAUAACCCGUUGAAAGGCGGACUAAAACCGCAUACACUUGUAUUAUUGCAUGAUAUUACAAGGAAAUAUUUAUAGCUGUAAGAUAGGCAUGCGUCCCAUUAGCUGGUUGGUGAGGUAACGGCUCACCAAGGCGACGAUGGGUAGGGGAACUGAGAGGUUUAUCCCCCACACUGGUACUGAGACACGGACCAGACUCCUACGGGAGGCAGCAGUGAGGAAUAUUGGUCAAUGGGCGAGAGCCUGAACCAGCCAAGUCGCGUGAAGGAAGACAGUCCUAAGGAUUGUAAACUUCUUUUAUACGGGAAUAACGGGCGAUACGAGUAUUGCAUUGAAUGUACCGUAAGAAUAAGCAUCGGCUAACUCCGUGCCAGCAGCCGCGGUAAUACGGAGGAUGCGAGCGUUAUCCGGAUUUAUUGGGUUUAAAGGGUGCGUAGGUUGUUCGGUAAGUCAGCGGUGAAACCUGAGCGCUCAACGUUCAGCCUGCCGUUGAAACUGCCGGGCUUGAGUUCAGUGGCGGCAGGCGGAAUUCGUGGUGUAGCGGUGAAAUGCAUAGAUAUCACGAGGAACUCCGAUUGCGAAGGCAGCUUGCCAUACUGCGACUGACACUGAAGCACGAAGGCGUGGGUAUCAAACAGG